GAUUAUGGGAGUGACACAGAUGAUCGAAGAUCCUACUCCGGAAUGGUUGCAGUUAUUGAUGGGAAUGUCAUCAACUGGCGAUCUAAAAAGCAGCAAUGUGUUUCGUUGUCUACCAUGGAAUCGGAGUAUAUAGCAUUAUGUCACAGUGCUAAAGAGGCCGUCUGGCUCGGUCAAACCCUGUCUGAUCUUGGAUUUAUCUUGCACUUUGCCAAACCACUCACAAUCUACUGUGACAAUCGAUCAGCCAUAGACUUCUCUAAGAAUAACAUUGAGAACAAUCGUUCCAAGCACAUCUCAGUUCAGUUCCACUACACAAGAGAUAAGAUAAACUCCGGUGAUAUCGUUGUCCAGUUUGUCAACACCAAGGAAAACAUGGCCGAUAUCCAAACCAAGACUUUAAAGAAGUUGAUGCACAGAGAUGCAUGUUUCCAGAUGAAUUUGAAGUCGCAAGUGGGGGAAUGCUGAACUGCUACUUCAAAAAUACAGCGCGCCUACGUCACAGGAUGACGUAGCAUUCGAGGAGCGUCCAGCCACCACCACUAGAGGCGCUCUGCCCUCUCCAUCACUUCCUGUUAUGUCUUCGCUUAUACUACCUGUUUCAUGUUCUCGUGAUAUAUUAAAACCUAUAUAUAUUUCAAUCUAUUCUCAAUUUGAUUGAACCACCGAUCCAACAGUUCCCAAACUGGCGACAUGUAGAAGUCCCCCGCUUGACCUCAAUUUAGACGAGGGGCCCACUGUAAUUAGAUCCGGAAAUGGGGGAACUCUCACCCUCUGUUUGCAUGGGGUAUUUUUAUUGCCGCGCGGAGCUACUCGCUUCCUGUCUCCUAAUUGCUUUUGUUCAACUUGAAUCUUUUUAAUGGUUCUCUACUUAUUUUACUGGAGUGGGAUUUUUUUUUUUCUUUCUUUCAGCACUGAUUUGUUACCUUUCAGUUACUCCUAUCUCCUCGGAAUUUAUUUAGAUUUUCUGCAAAAAUGUUUCCUAAAAUUAUAAGAAGUUUUACAAAUGCUUGUCCUAUAUUAAAAACUGCCUCUUGCAGCUCGAAAACUCUAUUAGAAGGCAUGGUAUAGGUUAACAAUUAACUAAGGAAUAAAACUGGGGUACAUUUGUAGGGUAGGACUAGCAGACAAAGGAUAAAAAUCAGAUGAAAGAUAGGGUAUCGAUACAUGUUCUCCCAUAUUGUUGUAAAUGGUGACUCUGAAAUAUUUGCUCGAACCUUAUUCAUUGUUGGCCGUUCAAUUUCGCACUGCUUGUUAUCGUUGGGGAGUGGCGUGUAUCGUUUUUGAAACAGAAUGGUAGGAUUUAAAUGAUUGUCAGGUUCGCAGUUCUUAACAUCGGGGAAGAAUGGCGUAAAUCGCCUUGUUGAAAAAAUGGCAGGGUUUAAAUGCCUGAAAGGCUCGCUGUUUGUGGGUUUGAAUCUUAAUGGCUCUGCUGGGAAUAAUUCGGGUGUGAAAUGCUUAAACGGGAACGUGUAAUCGGGCUUGUGCCUUAUAUGGCAUAUUCUAACGGCCGGCGGUGAUAUAUAACGGACUGUUUCUGUAUACAGCUUAAGCUUGCUGACGUGGAUCGUAUCAGUGUCUCUUUGAAGAGGUUGAUUUGGUCGAUCUAUAUGGACCACAUUCGGUGAAAUAAUUUCUAAUACUGUGUGGGGUCCUGUGAAAUAUGGCGCGAGUUUCCCUGUAUUGGGGUGGUGAUAUAAUUUAACUAACACUAGAUCACCUACUUCGAAAUGUGGUUGUUUGUGUCGUUGAUCAUAAGUGUUUUUGUCCUGAAGAUGCUUGUUUUGUGUUCGUGUGUGUGCAAUCUUUCUAGCUCUGUCGAUAUCUGGGUAAGGUGUGCUAUGGUCAGAGAGUUCUGGGGGUAGGAUGCCAAACAUUAGGUAGAUGGGUGGAAAACCUGUGGUAGAGUGUGGGGUUUUGUUAUAUAUGACUGUAACUCUUUUGACCAACUUGGUCCAUGCGAUCUUAGGAUUUUCUAAAUGUAACAGCCUAAGUUUUCCCGUGAGGGUGGCGUUCAGGCGUUCACAUAGACCCUUGGCUUGUGGAUUGUUGCUGGUUGUGAGUAGUGGGUGGAUGUUUCUAUUAAGUAGGAAACUACUAAAUUUUGGCGAAGUGAAGGCAGAGCUCUAUCCGUAAGGAGGCGUUUCGGAGAACCAUCCUGUAAUACUCGCUUAAGCACCUGUUGGUAGGUGGUGAUGCUGGUGGAUUUAGAUGGAAAAGUCCACGCGUAGCGCGAAAAAAGGUCGACUACAACAUGGAGGUGUAUUUUGGUGUUGCCAUAUUUGGCAAAUCCUGCUAUGGUGUCUAGGGAUAAUAGGUCGAAGGGUUCUUUGGCUUCCGGAGGUUGACUUAACUCCCCGUAAGUGGGUCCCAAUGGACGUUUUGUUAACUGGCAGGUGGGGCAGGUCUUAACCUUUUGUUUAAUAUCUUUUGACAUACCUUGCCAGUAAUAUUGCGUGGAGAUGAGUCGUGACAUUUGUGAAAUACCGGGGUGGUUAUAGUGUGCGUGUACUGUUUGUAAGAGUUGUUGUAUGAGUGGUUUUGGAAUUAUAAUCUUGGUUACACCUUUUCGGGAAACUGUAUGUAAUCCAUUACGAUCAAUGGUCAGACUAGACUCUCUCGAUGGAGGAGAUUGGUGUGUCUUGAUAAGGGACGCGUCUAAGAAUCCACAGAAUGGGUUACGGGAAAAAAGAUCCGCCUCAUACUGUUGUUUUCCCUUUAUGUAGCGGACUUCAUACUCGUAACUCGAUAGCCGUAAACUCCAUCGAAACAAUCUGCUGGACGGGUUUUUGAUGGUCUUCAGCCAUUGCAAUGCGUGAUGGUCAGAAAAUAUAGUAAACUUUCUGCCCAUCAGAUAGAUGCGAAACUUCUCCACACUCUCAACGAUUGCUAAGCACUCAAGUUCAGAGAUGGAGUAGUUUUUCUCGUGUGGGCGCAAUGUUCGGCUGAAAAACUGAACUGGAUAUGCGUUCCCGUCAGGGUGAACCUGUUUGAGAAUGCCUGCUAUACCGAGGGUGGAUGCAUCGCAAUACACUUGGCAUGGCAGACCUUCUUUGUAAAGGUGUAAAAUGGGGUGUGGUGUGAGGUUCCCUUUCAGGUCAAUGAACGCCUUUUGGCAAGCUUCAUCCCAGAUCCACACGACAUCCUUUUUGAGGAGGUUAUUGAGUGGUGCUCGCAAGCGAGCGUAUUCCGGGAUGAAUUUGUUAUAGACGUUCACAGCGCCUAAGAAGGAUUGUAGUGUUUUUCGGUUGUGUGGUUGUUUAAUGGCGUGAAUGAUGUCUGUGUUGCGUGUGAGCGGUGUGGUUGUACCAGCUGUGAUGGUGUAGCCUAGGAAAUCUAUGGACUGCUUAAAAAAUUCGCAUUUCGCGAAGUUAAGUUGUAACUCCUCUGCUUCGCAAAAGGCGAAAAAUUGUCGCAGGUGGUUUUGAUGUUCCUCCAAUGUGUUGGAGUAAAUGAUGAAAUCAUCAAAGUAAUGUGCCACACAGUCAAGUCCGUGUCUCUGUAGGACCUGACUCAUGGCUCGUUCGUAGAUCUGAGGGCUGGUUUUUAAUCCGAAAGGUAAUCGAGUGGGUUGGUAUAACCCUUCGAGGGUGGCAAAUGCCAACAGUGGUCGAGAAUCGGGGUGUAUUGGGACCUGCCAAUACGCAGAGGAUAUGUCGGCCGUGGAGAAAUACUUGGCCUGUGCGAGGCGGUCGAGGAUAUCCUCGAUUCUCGGGAGGGGAUGGACAUCAGAGCUAAUUAGUUCGUUCACCUUUCUAUAAUCGAUACAAAACCGUUUGGUCUUGUCGCGCUUAGUGACGAGGGUGACAGGGCUCGAGAAAGGUGAAAAAGAUUGCUCUAUAAUGCCAUUCUCUAGCAUUUGUUGGACUUGAUUACGGAUUUCUUGUUGGUCACAUAUCGGAACACGAUAUGGUCGUAUGGUAAUUAUUUUGUCGGAAUUCGUGGGUAUUUUUACGGGUGGAAUCCUUAAGCAUGGUACGUUGAAUUUGUUCUGUGUGAAGAUGUGAUUGUAUCUUUGUAAAAGUGUUGUGAACUGGGGUGUAUAGAGAGGAUUGUGUGUCGUGUUGUAGCAUGUAUGUGGCAAAGGAUUUUGUUGGGUCUUAGUGUGAGUGUCGAGUUCGUUGUGUGGGUUGGUCAUGUGAUAGUUGUAUGACGACGUAUGAUCACCUAUGUGCUUGGUAUGCGAGUUGUCCCGCUGUAUGGGUAUUUUUGGGCAUUAUGGUUACCAAUUGAAGCCGUGGUGGCUUUGUUAUUUGAGGGCAUGUAAAAUAGGCAAUUGGCCUUAGUGAAAAAAUGGCAUGUAGAUAAGGGUGGUUUGUUCAAUGAAUGCACGCAAUGGUUGUCAUAGGCGGAAAGUUUGGCUGUAGGGUAAGAUCUUUGUGACAUUGCCAGUAGGUGCAUACAUUUGGUACAUGGUUAAAAUGGUAGGAUGGGGUAGACAAUGGGGCGCCCAGCUGGAAUAUAGUGCAUUUAUUAAAAUCUAUUUGUUCCAGCCUUAAAUAUGCAAAAUUGUUAGAAUUUACUUUUGUAAAUUAUUGUUAAAUUAUGUAAAUUUUAGAAAUGUAUAUAAUCUUGAUUUUAGAAAAUAAAGAUAGUUAUUGAGUUAUUAAGUAUACGUGGUUGAGUCAUUAGAGUUGGUGAGACAAGAGUUAUUAAGUAUACGUGGUUGAGUCAUUAGAGUUGGUGAGACAAGAGUUAUUAAUGUAUACGUGGUUGAGUCAUUAGAGUUAGUGAGACGAGACAAUAGCAGUUAUUCAAGUUUGAAUGAGUUAUAGUUAGCUCGCUGAGUCAAGAAGCAUAUAAUUAAAACCAGCGUUAAAAUAAAAAUUAGGCGGUGAUUCCUCCUUAGUGCCAGGAGGCCAAAGCCAGUUCGAUGCAUGGUCCCUCAAGAGCCUGAUUAGGAUUUGAAACAGAAGAAAUUUAGCAAAAACUCAGCGAGAAUACAAUUGCAAAUGUCUCGAGACGAAAGGAUCCUCCAAAGAAAGUUAAGUUACCAGAAAAGGAGAAUUGAUGGAUUUAUUGAAAGUGUGGAUUCAAUUAUUGAGGCAGGUGAAACAAUACGCUUAGAAAUAAUGGGUGAAGAAUUAAAGGAGAUCAAAGAAAAAAUUGAGAAACUCUACGACGAGCUGUUUUCUUUGGAUGAAGUUGAUAUAGAUAAAGAAAGUGAGGCAUGUGAUAGUUCAAUGAACAAGAUUGGAAGCUUGAGGGUAAAAAUAGAAAAUGAAAGAAAACUCAAAGACAAACUGGCGGACAUAAAGCCAAAUGGCUCUCAGGCAAAUAUAAAAUUGCCUCAAUUUGACUUACCGAUAUAUGAUGGAGAUAUGGGCAAUUGGAUCAACUUCAAAGAGCUAUUCCUCACCACCAUCGAUGCACAUCCAGGGUUAACUAAUAUACAGAAGUUACAAUAUUUGAAUUCUGCAGUAAAAGGCGAAGCGGCCAGAUUAAUAAGGGGUUUCCCUUUACUAAGUGAAAAUUAUGGCCAAGCAUGGAAUACACUGUUAUCAAGAUAUGAUAACCCGAGAGAGCUAGCUUAUGCCCAGGUGUCAAAAAUAUUUUCUCUCCGGGCAAUUAAGAAUCCAUCGGCUAAGUGUCUCCAUGAAUUCAUGGAUGUUUGUAAUGAAGCCAUAAGAAACUUAGAAACGCUGGAAUUGAAGAGAAAUAAAUUAGUGGAUGUGAUCCUGGUGCACUUCCUCCAGCAGAAGUUGAGUGAAAAUCUAAGGUUGGAUUGGGAACUGUCAGUGGACAACACUCUUCCUUCUUAUGACAAGUUCAUAGCGUUCAUUUCCAGACAUGCGA